GACGAACGCUGGCGACGUGCUUAACACAUGCAAGUCGAGCGGUAAGGCCCUUUCGGGGGUACACGAGCGGCGAACGGGUGAGUAACACGUGGGUGACCUGCCCUCAGCUCUGGGAUAAGCCUGGGAAACCGGGUCUAAUACUGGAUAUGACUCCAUGACGCAUGUUGUGGGGUGAAAGCCUUGUGCGGCUGAGGAUGGGCCCGCGGCCUAUCAGCUUGUUGGUGGGGUGAUGGCCUACCAAGGCGACGACCGGGUAGCCGGCCUGAGAGGGCGACCGGCCACACUGGGACUGAGACACGGCCCAGACUCCUACGGGAGGCAGCAGUGGGGAAUCUUGCGCAAUGGCGAAAGCCUGACGCAGCGACGCCGCGUGAGGGAUGACGGCCU
rnacentral:rRNA from 1 species